GAUGAACGCUGGCGGCGUGCCUAAUACAUGCAAGUCGAGCGCACUGACGAGAAGCUUGCUUCUCUGAUGUUAGCGGCGGACGGGGGAGUAACACGUGGAUAACCUACCUAAAAGACUGGGAUAACUUCGGGAAACCGUAGCUAAUACCUGAUAAUAUUUUAAACUGCAUUGUUCAACAGGGAAAGACGGUCUUGCUGUCACUUAUAGAAGGAUCCGCGCUGCAUUAGCUAGUUGGUAAGGUAACGGCUUACCAAGGCAACGAUGCAUAGCCGACCUGAAGGGUGGUCCGCCCACCCUGGACCUGGACACCGGCCCGACUUCUACCGGGAGGAGCAGGAAGGGAAUUUCCGGCAUUGGGCGAAGGCCUGACGGGCAAACCCGCGGGAGGGGAGGAAGGUUUCGGAAUCGAAAAACUUGGUUAUUGGGGAGGAACAGAUGUGUAAGUAACUGUGCACAUCUUGACGGUACCUAAUCAGAAAGCCACGGCUAACUACGUG
rnacentral:rRNA from 1 species